rnacentral:misc_RNA from 1 species
GAUAAAGAACGCAGCGAAAUGCGAUACGUAAUGUGAAUUGCAAAUUCAGUGAAUCAUCGAGUCUUUGAACGCACAUUGCGCCCCCUGGUAUUCCGGGGGGCAUGCCUGUCCGAGCGUCAUUGCUGCCCUCAAGCACGGCUUGUGUGUUGGGCCCCGUCCUCCGAUCCCGGGGGACGGGCCCGAAAGGCAGCGGCGGCACCGCGUCCGGUCCUCGAGCGUAUGGGGCUUUGUCACCCGCUCUGUAGGCCCGGCCGGCGCUUGCCGAUCAACCCAAAUUUUUAUCCAGGUUGACCUCGGAUCAGGUAGGGAUACCCGCUGAACUUAAGCAUAUCAAUAAGCGGAGGA